UGAGGAAUAUUGGUUAAUGGGCGAGAGCCUGAACCAGCCAAGUAGCGUGCAGGAUGACGGCCCUAUGGGUUGUAAACUGCUUUUAUAUGGGAAUAAAGUGAGGGACGUGUCCCUUAUUGCAUGUACCAUAUGAAUAAGGACCGGCUAAUUCCGUGCCAGCAGCCGCGGUAAUACGGAAGGUCCAGGCGUUAUCCGGAUUUAUUGGGUUUAAAGGGAGCGUAGGCUGUUUGUUAAGCGUGUUGUGAAAUGUAAGAGCUCAACUUUUAGAUUGCAGCGCGAACUGGCAGACUUGAGUGCGCACAACGUAGGCGGAAUUCAUGGUGUAGCGGUGAAAUGCUUAGAUAUCAUGACGAACUCCGAUUGCGAAGGCAGCUUACGGGAGCGCAACUGACGCUAAAGCUCGAAGGUGCGGGUAUCGAACAGG
rnacentral:rRNA from 1 species